GGAGUUGGUUAGACAGUCGCUGCUGCGCUGCUGCCAGCGUCGGUGGAGGAAAGUCCGGACUUCAUAGGGCAGGGUGCUAGGUAACGCCUAGACGGUGUGAGCCGAUGGAAAGUGCCACAGAGAAUAGACCGCCAACCCCGUUCACUUGACUGAAAUUAAGUAUCGGGCGGCAAGGGUGAAACGGUGCGGUAAGAGCGCACCGCGUGGCUGGCAACAGGCACGGCACGGCAAACCCCACCCGAAGCAAGACCAAAUAGGGAAGCGAUGCGAUGCAAGUCGCGGCAGGUUGCCCGCCUGAGUUUCCGGGUAGGUCGCUUGAGGCGCUCGGUGACGGGUGUCCCAGAUGAAUGACUGUUCACGACAGAAUCCGGCUUAACGACUGACUCCCACU
rnacentral:RNase_P_RNA from 1 species